rnacentral:rRNA from 1 species
CCUACCUGGUUGAUCCUGCCAGUAGUCAUAUGCUUGUCUCAAAGAUUAAGCCAUGCAUGUCUAAGUCCAAGCUGUGUUUACACGGCGAGACCGCGGACGGCUCAUUAAAUCAGUCGUGGUCCAAAUGGGAUAGUCCAAUGUACUUGGAUAACUGUGGUGAUUCCAGAGCUAAUACAUGCAACUGAAACCUCGAUGGGAGCCCUUCUUUCGGUCGCUUGCCGUCCGUUGGUUGGAUCCUUCCUGACAGGUGCUUUUAUUAGACCAAUCCGCUGGUGGCCGAGUUGUUCUAAUGAGGCGCGUGCACGGGCUACCGGCUUUGCCGUGUUGUUCGCGAGGCGUGUUCUCGAGGGCUCUCGGUCAGACUUGCUUUGUGGUGACUCUGGAUAACCUUCUGUUGACAAGCGCACGUACCCCUCUCACGAGCGGGACGGCGCUGCCACUUUCGAGUGUCUGCCUUAUCAGCUGUCAAUCGCUCGCUACACGCGACCGAUGGCUUUGACGGGUAACGGGGAAUCAGGGUUCGAUUCCGGAGAGGCAGCCUGAGAGACGGCUACCACGUCCAAGGACGGCAGCAGGCACGCAAAUUACCCAAUCCCAGCACAUGGGGGAGGUAGUGACGAAAUCUAACGAUGCGGGCGCCCUUCCAGGGCCCCGCAAUCGGAAUGAGCACUUUCUAAACAACCUGUUGAGAACCUACUGAAGGGCAAGUCUGGUGCCAGCAGCCGCGGUAAUUCCAGCUUCAGUAGCAUAUAUUAAAGUUGCUGCGGUUAAAAGGCUCGUAGUUGGAUGUCAGUGCCGGGCGUCGGUCAGGUGGACGCUGGAGCGUGAGGACAAAAGUUGCGUUCGUGUGUGGGUUCUGGGCAACCAGUUCGUGCGCGCGGGCGUGGCUCUCACAAGCUCCCGUCCGUAACAAGCCUCCGCGCCUGAGUACAUGGAGAGACUUUUUGGAAUGUGUGUCGUCCUUCGCGGGUCGCGCGCACUUCUCCUCUGGUUUCAGUGUCACCCUGAGUAAAUCAGAGUGCUCAAAGCAGUCGUAACGCUUACGCCCUGUGAACAGUCUUGACGGACUGACUUGGUUUUGCAUGGCAUGUCGGAAGACGACGUCGGGCGCUGGCUAAGAGUGUACAAAUCAGUGGUAAAAGCCAGCCCCGACGUCAUGAUUAAAAGGGCUUGUCGAGGGCAUUGGUAUUGCGGAGCGAGAGGUGAAAUUCUGUGACCUCCGCAAGACCUCCUGAAGCGAAAGCGUCUGCCAAGGAUGUUUUCAUUAAUCAUGAACGAAAGUUAGAGGAUCGAAGGCGAUCAGAUACCGCCCUAGUUCUAACCCUAAACGAUGCCAACCAUCAAUCCGCGCGAGCACCCUUUUAUACGGGCUCGGCGGGCAGCUCCUUUCACGGGAAACCAGAGUCUCUGGGUUCCGGGGGGAGUCUGGUUGCAAAGCUGAAACUUAAAGGAAUUGACGGAAAGGCACCACCAGGCGUGGCCUGCGGCUUAAUUUGACUCAACACGGGCCAUCCCACCAGGCCAGCACUCUAGCAUGAUUGACAGAUUGAGAGCUCUUUCUCGAUUUAGUGGAUGGUGGUGCAUGGCCGUUCUUAGUUGGUGGAGUGAUCUGUCUGGUUAAUUCCGAUAACGAACGAGACUCUCCCCUGCUAACUAGUCGGUUGGAUCUUGAUUCGCGAGUAAUGCGCCCUGGCGGUGUCUUCUCACGGCUGUGCGUGGAAGGAGAGCGGGUCUCAGUGCGGGGUGCUUCGGUGCUUGCGCGGGGGCUUGUCUUUUCUCUCCCGCAUGCCUGGGAGCCCCUGGGUAGUGCACACUCCAAGUCCGCCGCUUAUGCUGUAAGUCUUCUUAGAGGGAUCCACGGCUCUGAAGCCGUCAGAGACUGAGAGCAAUAACAGGUCUGUGAUGCCCUUAGAUGCUCUGGGCCGCACGCGCGCUACAAUGCCGGGCACAGCAGGUGAUCUUCCUUCUCCGAGAGGAGCAGGUAACCCUCUGAAAGCCCUUCUGUCUCAUGGUGUCGCGUCUCUCGUCUUUCGGGGCGGAGCGCGCAAGGCGUGCUUGGGCCUGGAGCUUGCAAUUUUUCUCCACAAACGAGGAAUGCCUAGUAGCGGUGGGUCACUGAGCCCACCGUGACUCAGUCCCUGCCCUUUGUACACACCGCCCGUCGCUACUACCGAUUGGGUGUACCAGUGAGAGCCUUGGACUGGCGGCCGUUGCCCUUCGGGCAAGCGGUUUCGACUGAAAGAGGUCCGAACUGGUGCACUUAGAGGAAGUAAAAGUCGUAACAAGGUUUCCGUAGUGAACCUGCGGAAGGAUCAUUA